rnacentral:rRNA from 1 species
GAUGAACGCUGGCGGCGUGCCUAAUACAUGCAAGUCGAGCGAACAGAUGAGGAGCUUGCUCCUCUGACGUUAGCGGCGGACGGGUGAGUAACACGUGGAUAACCUACCUAUAAGACUGGGAUAACUUCGGGAAACCGGAGCUAAUACCGGAUAAUAUAUUGAACCGCAUGGUUCAAUAGUGAAAGACGGUUUUGCUGUCACUUAUAGAUGGAUCCGCGCCGCAUUAGCUAGUUGGUAAGGUAACGGCUUACCAAGGCAACGAUGCGUAGCCGACCUGGGAGGGUGAACGGCCACACUGGAACUGAGACACGGUCCCGACUCCUACGGGAGGCAGCAGUAGGGAAUCUUCCGCAAUGGGCGAAAGCCUGACGGAGCAACGCCGCGUGAGUGAUGAAGGUCUUCGGAUCGUAAAACUCUGUUAUUAGGGAAGAACAAAUGUGUAAGUAACUAUGCACGUCUUGACGGUACCUAAUCAGAAAGCCACGGCUAACUACGUG